rnacentral:rRNA from 1 species
UACCAGCCCCCUGAGUGAUAGGGACGAUUAUUUAGCCUAAAGCGUCCGUAGCCGGCUUAUCAAGUCUUUUGUUUGAUCUAACGACUUAAUCGUUAGGCCGCAGAAGAUACUGCUAGGCUAGAGGGCGGAAGAGGUUGACGGUAGUCCCGGGGUAGGGGUGAAAUCCUAUAAUCCCGGGAGGACCACCAGUGGCGAAGGCGGUCAACUAGUACGCCCCUGACGGUGAGGGACGAAAGCUGGGGGAGCGAACCGGAUUAGACACCCGGGUAGUCCCAGCUGUAAACGAUGCGGGCUAGGUGUUGGGGUGGCUACGUGCCACUUCAGUGCCGCAGGGAAGCCAUUAAGCCCGCCGCCUGGGGAGUACGGCCGCAAGGCUGAAACUUAAAGGAAUUGGCGGGGAGCACCACAAGGCGUGAAGCUUGCGGUUC